rnacentral:tRNA from 1 species
GGGGCAGGUAGCGCAGAGGUCGACGCGCCCCCUGCAAGGGGGAUGACGCCGGUUCGAAUCCGGUCCGCCCCACCG